rnacentral:rRNA from 1 species
AAUAGAUACCCAGGUAGUCCAUGCCGUAAACGUUGGGCGCUAGAUGUGGGGACCAUUCCACGGUUUCCGUGUCGCAGCUAACGCAUUAAGCGCCCCGCCUGGGGAGUACGGCCGCAAGGCUAAAACUCAAAGGAAUUGACGGGGGCCCGCACAAGCGGCGGAGCAUGCGGAUUAAUUCGAUGCAACGCGAAGAACCUUACCAAGGCUUGACAUAUACGAGAACGCUCUAGAAAUAGAGAACUCUUUGGACACUCGUAUACAGGUGGUGCAUGGUUGUCGUCAGCUCGUGUCGUGAGAUGUUGGGUUAAGUCCCGCAACGAGCGCAACCCUCGUUCUAUGUUGCCAGCGGUUCGGCCGGGAACUCAUAGGAGACUGCCGGGGUCAACUCGGAGGAAGGUGGGGAUGACGUCAAAUCAUCAUGCCCCUUAUGUCUUGGGCUUCACGCAUGCUACAAUGGCCGGUACAAAGGGCUGCAAUACCGUAAGGUGGAGCGAAUCCCAAAAAGCCGGUCUCAGUUCGGAUUGAGGU